rnacentral:tRNA from 1 species
GAAGUUAUAGCUCAGUGGUAGAGCAUGUGCUCAGCAUGCACGAGGUCCUGGGUUCAAUCCCAGUACCCGCA